rnacentral:piRNA from 1 species
CGGAAAUUGUGACCGCUUCAGAGGCAAGGC